GAGGAAGUCACUCCGUAGCCACUGCUUUGGGAUUUCUGCCCAUGGAGCAGGGUCAGGACUGGUGAAAACGUGGAGGGAAAAUGUGACCUGGAUUCUAGUUUCUGCCCUACGUAAGGCAGCCCACGAGGGGUACCAUGUGGAGGCAUGGCCCAGGUAACCACCUCUCCUAUUUGGUAGCACUGGAUCCAAGGACCAGAGGUCUUGCUGAAGGAACAGAUGUGAUCUCACACGACUGUAAUCUUGCCAGCAAAUAAGAAGCAGUGUGAGCUGGAGGGACAGACCUGAGCAGCCCUGUGUGUGGGAGGUGCCCUGCUUGCUAAUUGCCAAGCAGGUAUGAGCUGCCGGCUUGGCUUCGUCGCAGCCUCUCCACGCUGGGACUUUGAGACAUGGGAUGAUAGUGGUGCAGUGCUGGUACCUGGGAGAGGACGUGAGAGC